AAGUCGGAGGUGAAAGCCUGGGGCUCAACCCCAGAACUGCCUUCGAUACUGGCGGUCUUGAGUAUGGUAGAGGUUGGUGGAACUCCGAGUGCAGAGGUGAAAUUCGUAGAUAUUCGGAAGAACACCAGUGGCGAAGGCGGCCAACUGGACCAUUACUGACGCUGAGGUGCGAAAGCGUGGGGAGCAAACGGGAUUAGAUACCCUGGUAGUCCACGCUGUAAACGAUGAGAGCUAGCCGUUGGGGUGCAUGCACCUCAGUGGCGCAGCUAACGCGUUAAGCUCUCCGCCUGGGGAGUACGGUCGCAAGAUUAGAAGUCAAAGGAAUUGACGGGGGCCCGCACAAGCGGUGGAGCAUGUGGUUGAAUUCGAAGCAACGCGCAGAACCUUACCAGCCCUCGACAUGCCUCGGAAGUGGACGAGAGAUCGAUCACGCUCUUCGGAGCCGGGGACACCAGGUGCUGCAUGGCUGUCGUCAGCUCGUGUCGUGAGAUGUUGGGUUAAGUCCCGCAACGAGCGCAACCCUCGCCCUUAGUUGCCAUCAUUCAGUUGGGCACUCUAGGGGGACUGCCGGUGAUAAGCCGGAGGAAGGUGGGGAUGACGUCAAGUCCUCAUGGCCCUUACGGGCUGGGCUACACACGUGCUACAAUGGCGGUGACAGUGGGCAGCAAGGCAGCAAUGCCAAGCUAAUCUCAAAAAGCCGUCUCAGUUCGGAUUGAGGUCUGCAACUCGA
rnacentral:rRNA from 1 species